UUCUAUCUCCCUUUUCCAGCGACCUCCCCCUCUCCCUCUCUCUUCUCAAUUUUCUCCACCGUUCGGCGAAAACCGGCGGACUAGCAACUUCAACGAGGCUAGCAUCCGUUGUCCGCCUCUGCUUCUCUCCACCCCUCCUUCAUUUUUCUCCCAUCUUAUCUCCCUCACUUUCCUGUCGUUCCCUUUCACUUCAUCUUCCUUUCUCUUUUUUGGAAAGGAAACAGCCGAACCUGCUAGGCAGCAUGUUCCGGAGAAGCAGCAGCAGCGACUAUAGAGGCCAGCAACUCCGACCAGCCACCAAUGCCUCCCACAGGCGAGCAUCGUCCUCGUCUCCUUUUCACCUUUUCUGGCGAGCUCGAAAUUAUGGAAUAUUACAAGACGGAUUUCUAAGAUCCGUCCAG
rnacentral:misc_RNA from 1 species